rnacentral:rRNA from 1 species
AAAUUGAAGAGUUUGAUCAUGGCUCAGAUUGAACGCUGGCGGCAGGCCUAACACAUGCAAGUCGAACGGUAACAGAAAGCAGCUUGCUGCUUUGCUGACGAGUGGCGGACGGGUGAGUAAUGUCUGGGAAACUGCCCGAUGGAGGGGGAUAACUACUGGAAACGGUAGCUAAUACCGCAUAACGUCGCAAGACCAAAGAGGGGGACCUUCGGGCCUCUUGCCAUCGGAUGUGCCCAGAUGGGAUUAGCUAGUAGGUGGGGUAAAGGCUCACCUAGGCGACGAUCCCUAGCUGGUCUGAGAGGAUGACCAGCCACACUGGAACUGAGACACGGUCCAGACUCCUACGGGAGGCAGCAGUGGGGAAUAUUGCACAAUGGGCGCAAGCCUGAUGCAGCCAUGCCGCGUGUAUGAAGAAGGCCUUCGGGUUGUAAAGUACUUUCAGCGGGGAGGAAGGGAGUAAAGUUAAUACCUUUGCUCAUUGACGUUACCCGCAGAAGAAGCACCGGCUAACUCCGUGCCAGCAGCCGCGGUAAUACGGAGGGUGCAAGCGUUAAUCGGAAUUACUGGGCGUAAAGCGCACGCAGGCGGUUUGUUAAGUCAGAUGUGAAAUCCCCGGGCUCAACCUGGGAACUGCAUCUGAUACUGGCAAGCUUGAGUCUCGUAGAGGGGGGUAGAAUUCCAGGUGUAACGGUGAAAUGCGUAGAGAUCUGGAGGAAUACCGGUGGCGAAGGCGGCCCCCUGGACGAAGACUGACGCUCAGGUGCGAAAGCGUGGGGAGCAAACAGGAUUAGAUACCCUGGUAGUCCACGCCGUAAACGAUGUCGACUUGGAGGUUGUGCCCUUGAGGCGUGGCUUCCGGAGCUAACGCGUUAAGUCGACCGCCUGGGGAGUACGGCCGCAAGGUUAAAACUCAAAUGAAUUGACGGGGGCCCGCACAAGCGGUGGAGCAUGUGGUUUAAUUCGAUGCAACGCGAAGAACCUUACCUGGUCUUGACAUCCACGGAAGUUUUCAGAGAUGAGAAUGUGCCUUCGGGAACCGUGAGACAGGUGCUGCAUGGCUGUCGUCAGCUCGUGUUGUGAAAUGUUGGGUUAAGUCCCGCAACGAGCGCAACCCUUAUCCUUUGUUGCCAGCGGUCCGGCCGGGAACUCAAAGGAGACUGCCAGUGAUAAACUGGAGGAAGGUGGGGAUGACGUCAAGUCAUCAUGGCCCUUACGACCAGGGCUACACACGUGCUACAAUGGCGCAUACAAAGAGAAGCGACCUCGCGAGAGCAAGCGGACCUCAUAAAGUGCGUCGUAGUCCGGAUUGGAGUCUGCAACUCGACUCCAUGAAGUCGGAAUCGCUAGUAAUCGUGGAUCAGAAUGCCACGGUGAAUACGUUCCCGGGCCUUGUACACACCGCCCGUCACACCAUGGGAGUGGGUUGCAAAAGAAGUAGGUAGCUUAACCUUCGGGAGGGCGCUUACCACUUUGUGAUUCAUGACUGGGGUGAAGUCGUAACAAGGUAACCGUAGGGGAACCUGCGGUUGGAUCACCUCCUUA